rnacentral:ncRNA from 1 species
AAAGCCGGGCUACGGUGCCAAAGUGCGCGCUAACCCAGAUCCCACAAAGGGUGUUGAUUGAUUAAGACAGCAGGACGGUGGUCAUGGAAGUCGAAAUCCGCUAAGGAGUGUGUAACAACUCACCUGCCGAAUCAACUAGCCCCAAAAAUGGAUGGCGCUUAAGCGCGCGGCCUAUGCCCGGCCAUCGCAGCGAUUGCGAGGCCCCGAUG